CUUCUCCAAGCCAGAGCGCUGUACAAGAGGUUUCUGAAUUCAACCGGCUACGUGGGCGAUCAGGAGUGGGCGAUGAUUAAGAUGGUAGAGCAAAGAGUGUUUUUGUACCCCAUGAUAUUUUUUUGCUGCUGGGGUCCAGCCUUUAUCCUUGGAAUCUUCAGACUGACAUCUUUGGAGCACACCAGGCCGUACAUGGGAUUUUGUGUUUUAGAGGCCCUGACAGCGUCAUCCCAGGGCCUCCUGAACUGCGCUGUUUACUGCUGGACCCAGCAUACGUUCCGCUGCAUGAA